ACUACGGGAGGCAGCAGUAGGGAAUGUUCGUCAAUGGGCGCAAGCCUGACCCAGCAACGCCGCGUGAAGGAAGAAGGCUUUCGGGUUGUAAACUUCUUUUCUCAGGGACGAAGCAAGUGACGGUACCUGAGGAAUAAGCCACGGCUAACUACGUGCCAGCAGCCGCGGUAAUACGUAGGUGGCAAGCGUUAUCCGGAUUUACUGGGUGUAAAGGGCGUGUAGGCGGGGACGCAAGUCAGAUGUGAAAACCACGGGCUCAACCUGUGGCCUGCAUUUGAAACUGUGUUUCUUGAGUACUGGAGAGGCAGACGGAAUUCCUAGUGUAGCGGUGAAAUGCGUAGAUAUUAGGAGGAACACCAGUGGCGAAGGCGGUCUGCUGGACAGCAACUGACGCUGAGGCGCGAAAGCGUGGGGAGCAAACAGGAUUAGAUACCCCAGUAGUC
rnacentral:rRNA from 1 species